GUGAAGCCCCUCACACACAUGUAAAUGAACCUGUGUGCACGCCUUAGGGUAAAAUGAUUUUGCAUGCUGUAUGUUAAGAGAAGCGCCAUAACUUGGGACCAGCAAUUGGCAUAGCGGUUACGUCUCUGGACUCCCACAUGACUGACUGCAGUUCAAGUCCCGGACCUGGCGGCUUCAAAAUCACACCGGGCACGUGUGCAUGCAUACCGAAAACCUGGAGAAGAGAAGGACUGAGCACGGUCAUCCCUCCCAGCGAUGAUUUCUCGCUUUCUGUCUCUGCUGCGCUCUCCGUCUUCCCGUUAGUCUCUUCAUCCCGGGCAUGUAGUCUGGAAGUUUAAGCCCUCUGCCUAGACUCUGUGUCUACACGUGCAUUUUCUGGAUGGUGUCUAAGCUACUACCUGCUGAUUCCUGGCCCCAAGUUCAGUGUGAGCAGGUCACGUGCUCACUGGGGAGGUUGCCUGAGUCCGUGUGGAGACUGUGAGCGACUGCCCGGCUGUCCGCGGUCCUGGACAGCCUGUUCCCCACGGGCCACCCUCUACCUUCGACGCGAUACGAUGUUUGCGCUGCAGUCCUGUUCAUGUUCGGUCCCGAUCCAUUAUUCUAUAGUAAAGCUCGUCACAAACAUUUAUUGAGCUCCGACUCCCUCCCAGGCACAAAGCAGACGCCAGGAGGUGGGCGACUAAGCCAUCACUCCACUUCAGAAGGAGCACGGUGCAGCCAGCCUGAAAGCAGUCCCGGGUUCAAGAUGGCGUGUUCAGAAGGUCUUGGCUUGCAAGUGGUGCCCGGCAGGGGUCAAGCUCCUCGGCCCCCGUCUGAUGUGUCUGACACACUGGCAGGUGUGGGAAAAUGCCGUUACCCCUCAGAAUUACCAUUUUCUACGAUGUAAAAUGCACCUUGCUAUGGGAAAAACACACAUUUGUUACCAGCACGUGGGCACGUCUGAAUCAAGCUGGGAGCCGAGCGUGCAUUAGUGACGUUUCACAGUGGCCGGGCUAUCUGAC